GCUUCCGAUAUCGACGUCAAUUUCGAGGUAAUUCGAACCUUUGUAGUAAGCGCAAUUCAACGCUUUCCCUAACAAGCACGCGCUGUGGCUCCCCACGGCCUUCUUCACGAUCCACGGCCCCUUCGCGAUCCGGUUCACCAGCUUGAACCGCUGGUUCCGAAACGCGUCGUCGCCGUGCACGAACCGGUUUAAGAGUGAACCGGUUCGGACCGGAUCCGGUUCCUCGGUCGCGAAGUAGAACACCGCGCUGUGGUGCUCCUUCGCGCCCGGGAUCUGGAGAUUCACCGCGAAGACGAAGCUCUUUAGGGAGCGACCUAGGGUUUGACAUCUUCGCAGCGCGUGCAUCACGCGGUUGUCCGCGCGUGAGAGCACGUGGUCGAGUUUCGCGGCGGAUUUGAGCCAGUCCAUGCCCGCCGGCGAGAGGAGGUAGUCGCCGGCGGGAGAUUUUUGGCGGUUCUGAAAGUAACUUUCGGAGCGGAGGGAGAACACGGAGCCUGGCGGCGACGCCCAGCCGUUGGUGCCGGAGUUGAGGUCGACGCGGCGGAGGGAGCCGCCGUUGAUUGAUUCGGAGAUCCAGUCUGGAAUGCUGUCGCCAGGGGAGUUACCGGAGCUCCGGUGAGGUUUCGGCGGCGGCAGCAGCAGCGACAUUGGUGGAGGCUUUGUUUGCAUAUACUGUAGAACCAGAAACUGAACUAACUCCAUUUAACGUGGAGAGAAGAAGGGUGUGUUAGCAAAAGGAUAAAUUGUAAGAGGGGCUGAAAAUAAAAGUAGAAUAAUUAGAAAAAGUAUCCCUAAUUUAUUGGAAAUUACGAUAGAGCCCCUUACUUUAUGUCGGCCAGCCUCGACGAUGCAUAAAUAAAACAGGAGAUUCUAUUUGAAAAUGAUUUUUCUUUUUGUUUCAAAGUUCAAUUAUUUAUGGCAUCAAGAAAAAGUUCAAGUUUUUGUUGGAAACUCGACAAUAAAACUUUGACACAAUGAUGAAAUUAUAUGCUUGACAACUAUAUUUUGUUAAUUAUUGAUUGAUUUUCAACAUUAUCAUAGUAAUUCGCGGAUGAGUUGGAAAAGGAUAGUGUAUAUUCUGCACAAUCAUCUCAAAUAACUGGGAGUUUUUUCUUGUGUGAUUAUCUUAUGUCUGAAAAUUAAAGACUAGAUGUAUGCACAUCAUUUUAAAGGGUUGAAUUAUCUUAAUAUAUAUAUAUAUAUAUAUAUAUAUAUAUAUAUAUAUAUAUAUAUAUAUAUAUAUAUAUAUAUAUAUUUAAAAAUCAAAUUUCUAACCAUAUAGUUAAGAGACACAAUUAUCUACUAGUUAAGCCCUAAAAAAUUACCUACUUAUUAUUUUAUAUAUUGAUGUGAUAUUAUUUUUCAUCAUUAAUUAGAAACUAUAGCAUAAGUUGUUGAAUCAAAGCUUAAUUACUUAUUUAUUGCCUCUUUCUUAUAUUAGUAUAUUACUAGGUACUAGUAUUAAGUUUUAGUUUUUUUUUUAAUUUACAAUUGUAUUAAGGGAAGUAUUAAUUAUUUUUUUAAAAAAAAAAAAGCUAGAUGGGGAUAAACAUUAUAGGGAAAACACAAAGCUGGGAGUGCGAGCAAAGCUAAAGCAUAGUCAUUGACAAAGCUGGAAGGGAAGUUUUCUCUCUUUCGUUUGUUUAGAUUGCUACGUAAAUUCAAUAACACUCAUUGAAGAAGUCAAGGGUGGGCGCAGUUUAAACUACUCUGGACACAUGGAUGGAAAUCUUUUGGAUGUUGAUGAUGAAGAUGGCGACACCUGUGAAUCAUAAAGUUGAAGCAUGCAUAGGAGAAUUUUGUUGAUAAAUAUUCGAUAUCAUAAAUGACAUCAUUUUUUCCAAUUAAAAUUAAAGAGCUGCC
rnacentral:lncRNA from 1 species